rnacentral:rRNA from 1 species
AUUGAACGCUGGCGGAAUGCUUUACACAUGCAAGUCGAACGGCAGCACGGGGGCAACCCUGGUGGCGAGUGGCGAACGGGUGAGUAAUACAUCGGAACGUGCCCAGUCGUGGGGGAUAACGUAGCGAAAGCUACGCUAAUACCGCAUACGAUCUACGGAUGAAAGCGGGGGAUCGCAAGACCUCGCGCGAUUGGAGCGGCCGAUGGCCGAUUAGGUAGUUGGUGAGGUAUAGGCUCACCAAGCCGACGAUCUGUAGAUGGUCUGAGCGGACGACCAGCCACACUGGGAGUGAGACACGAGCGAGACUCCGGCGGGAGGCAGCAGGGGGGAAGUUUGGACAAUGGGCGCGGGCCUGAUCCAGCCAUUCCGCGUGGAGGAUGAAGGCCCUCGGGUUGUAAACUGCUUUUGUGCGGAACGAAACGGCGCUCUCUAAUACAGGGGGCUAAUGACGGUACCGUAAGAAUAAGCACCGGCUAACUACGUGCCAGCCGCCGCCGUAA